CGGUACGUACUGGCAUCGUCGGUUUCUCCCUUCUGACGAACCAUGAUGUCAUUUAUUUGGUGUCGUGGGGAAUCAGGACUGUUACUUUGAAAAAAUUAGAGUGUUUAAAGCAGGCUCACGCUUGAAUACAUUAGCAUGGAAUAAUGAAAUAGGACGUUUGAUUCUAUUUUGUUGGUUUCUAGGAUCGACGUAAUGAUUAAUAGGGAUAGUUGGGGGCAUUAGUAUUCAAUUGUCAGAGGUGAAAUUCUUGGAUUUAUUGAAGACUAACUACUGCGAAAGCAUUUGCCAAGGAUGUUUUCAUUAAUCAAGAACGAAAGUUAGGGGAUCGAAGACGAUCAGAUACCGUCGUAGUCUUAACCAUAAACUAUGCCGACUAGGGAUCGGAUGAUGUUAAUUUUUUAAUGGCUCAUUCGGCGCCUUACG
rnacentral:rRNA from 1 species